rnacentral:rRNA from 1 species
UCCUACGGGAGGCAGCAGUGGGGAAUAUUGACAAUGGGGGCAAGCCUGAUCCAGCAAUACCGCGUGGGUGAAGAAGGUUUUCUGAUUGUAAAGCCCUUUUGGCGGGGACGAUGAUGACGGUACCCGCAGAAUAAGCUCCGGCUAACUUCGUGCCAGCGGCCGCGGUAAUACGAAGGGGGCUAGCGUUGCUCGGAAUGACUGGGCGUAAAGGGCGCGUAGGCGGACUGCACAGUCAGGCGUGAAAUUCCUGGGCUUAACCUGGGGACUGCGUCUGAGACGUGUGAUCUAGAGUGAGGAAGAGGGUCGUGGAAUUUCCAGUGUAGAGGUGAAAUUCGUAGAUAUUGGAAAGAACACCGGUGGCGAAGGCGGCGACCUGGUCCUUUACUGACGCUGAGGCGCGAAAGCGUGGGGAGCAAACAGGAUUAGAUACCCUGGUAGUCCACGCCGUAAACGAUGUGCGCUGGAUGUUGGGGGGCCUAGCCCUUCAGUGUCGUAGCUAACGCGAUAAGCGCACC